rnacentral:lncRNA from 9 species
GUUAAUUUCUGCUGUACAGUGAAGGGAUUCAGCCAUUCUCAUCCAUUCCCACAGAGGUUAUCACAGACCACUGAGUAGAUUUCCCUAUGCUAUACAGCACAGCCCUGUUGACCAUCAUUCCAUUAAAAACAGUGCUACUUGAGACUUUCAAAUUUAUCUGUAUGGUCCCUUUAAGACCUUUAUGAGUCAACGAUUCUAUGAUUCUAGAUAUGGCUAAGAUCCUUCCAGCCCUGAACAUCAUCAGAGGAAGGUAAAUAAUUCGAAGGAGUGCUGGUAGAAGAUGGCAAAGAAGAGUACCUUUUCACCACAUUACAGAAGACUUCUUGGAGUUGCUGUCUUGGCUCAGCAGUUAAUGAACCCAACUAGAAUCCACGAGGAUGCGGGUUCUAUCCCUGGCCUCAUUCAGUGGGUUAAGGAUCCAGCGUUGCCCUGAGCUGGGAUGUAGGUCACAGAUACAACUCGGAUUGUGCAUUGCUGUGGCUGUGGUGUAGGCCAGUGGCCACAGCUCUAAUCAGACCCCUAGCCUGGGAACCUCCAUAUGCCAUGGGUGCGGCCCUAAAAGAGACAAAAAAAAAAAAAAAAAAAAAAAAAAAAAAAAAGAAGAAGAAGACUUUUUUUUUGUUUACCAAUUGGGCCUGACCUCAAUUUCUAUUCCUCUCCGGUCUACCUCAGAGAUAUUCAGGACACGACAAAAGGCAGACAAUUUAUUUUACCAAGAUGAUGGCAGGUGUGUUUGUGACCUCAUCAACCUUGCCUUCUGCCAGUUCCUAUGGCUCCAGUUCCAAACAGCUGCUUCCUCCCCAACUUGAUGUGCUGGAAGUUCAGGAACCAUCUAUCCCCCAUCAUCAUCAUUAUCAGCACUGUCACUGGCAUGGUCCAUCGUAGCCCCAGAUACUAUGAUCCUACAAAUGGGCUAAUAUUGAAAGUAGAAGAAAAGUAAAGAAAAAAACUCAACAUCAAGGCUCUGGGCUAGAAACUGUCCCUAGCCCCAUGGAAGCUGCCAGGUUUUCCUUUCCCAAGUUUUCUCUUUUCCAGAACAGAUUAUUUUUAGCAGGUACCUGUAUAUUUAACUACCUCCUCAGGUAAUUUCAAUGUAUAGCCAAGGUCAAGAACCUUGAGUAUAAAAUAUAUGUGCUGCAAUGGGUCUUAGACUGGAUGGUUUGGGGCAAAUGGAAUGCAGACUACACUUUGGGAGAAGUUGCUAUCAUGGCAAAGAGCUCAGGUUUGGUUCUGAAAUCAGGAAGACCUGGGUUGGAAUUCCAGCUCUGCCUCUAUGUAACUGGACAAAUUACUUAACCUGAUUCUCACUUUCCUUAGGCAUAAAUUGAGAAUGAAAAUAAAAACUUAGAUGAGACGAGAAAUGUUUAGAAGCCCAGAACAUGGUACAGAGUUCAUGAAUAGUAAAAAAUGGUCAUUACCCUACUCCUUCUUUUUUGUCUUUUGUCUUUUCAGGGCCAUACCCGCGGCAUAUGGAGGUUCCUAGGCUAGGAGUCUAAUUGGAUCUACAGCUGCCAGCCUACACCAGAGCCACAGCAAUGCCAGAUCCAAGCCACAUCUGUGAUCUACACCACAGCUCAAGCAACGCCGGAUCCUUAACCCACUGAGCAAGGCCAGGGAUCGAACCCACAACCUCAUGGUUCCUAGUCAGAUUUGUUUCCACUGAGCCACGACGGGAACUCCCCCCACUCCCCACUUCUUUUUAGUCACUUAAUCCCCUGUGAGCCUCAACAUCCUCAACCAUAGAAUGGAGUUCACUCAAGAUCACCUCUAAGGUGCCUCUCAGUUCCAACUCUCUAUGACUGAGUAGGAUGUAAAGCAGGCAUUGGCAAACUUUUUCUCUAAUGGAACAAAUAAUGAAGGUUUUAGUCUUCGAAGGGCAUACAGUUUCUAUUGCAUUAGACCCUGCUAUUAUAAUGUGAAAGCAGCCAUGGUUAAUACCUAAAUGGAUGAGCAUGGCAUGGCUGUGUUUCAAUAAAACUUUAUCAACAAAAACAGGCAGUGGGCCAGAUUUGACCCUGGGCUACAGUUUGUAGCACCCGUGGUGCAAAAGAUAAAGUUUUUUCCACUCUGGUCAUCAGAAUGGCAUCAGUGUCUCUUCUCUCAGGCACUACACUUUCAGAAAAUACUAAGUCACAGGGUAGUUACCUAAUAUGCCUUAGGUGGGUUCUAUUUCUCGAAUUGGUGGUAAUAUCUCCUCCCAUUAUACUCACUGUUUGUACAAUGAGACUUUGACACUCUUCUCAUCAAGAGAUGGGGACCAUUUUUCCUAACUUUAGCUCUGGGAAAAAUUAUGACUGCAGCAUGGUGACAUUAUGUGAUUUUUGAGGAAAAAAAAAAUUUUAAAUGAUACAGCUUCUACCUGGUUCUCCUAGGAUACUUAACUUUGCAACCUAGACACUGUUUUGAGGAAGCCUGUGUCACCCUAUGGAGAGGCCCACAUGGAGAGAAACUGGCAGUCAGCACUGAAUUACAAGUCAUGUGAAUAAAGCAUCUUGGAAGUGGAUCGUCCAACUCCAGACAAGCCAGCCCAACCAGGAGGCAUAUAGAUGAAACAUUCCUACUGAGCACUACCACAAUGAAAUAAAUAAUUGGUUUUACUUUAAGCCUUAAUCUGGGAUAUGAUAUGUUAUGGAACAAGAGACAAAGAAAAUUUGAUACUCAGAAUGGAAAUAUAACUAUAUAUAUAUAUGGCAUUGACUUUGGGAUUGGACAGUGGGAAGAACUGAAGAGAAUGUUAGUGAAAGUCGAAAGGUUCUCAGGAGAUAUUAGAAAGAAAAGUGAAUAAAAUGUGAUCUUGAGGAGGAAGGAGUUUCCAUAUUACGUAGUGGCAGAAAAUUUGACAAGUCAAGCACCUGGGUUAGCAUGGCCAAUAGGAAAUGUACCUAGUGAAUUUGAUGAUUUAGCUAAGGGGGCUUCCAAAAAGAAUAUUGGAAAUCACCUUGCUUCUUCUCACCACCUGUGACAAAAUGUGAGAGGAGAGAGAUAAGCUAGAGAAUAAACUGUUACAUACAAAUGAGCCAGGAUUUGCAGGGUUUGAAAAAUAAAACUGUUUCUCAUUUCCAGCCUUUCCAAGAUUUUCAGAUCUACAAAUAGUUUCAAAACAAAGAUGGGUGAAUACAAGGUGUGACUUUAAAUGCCUUUGUUAAGACUUUAGAAAUAUUUAAGCUGAUGCCUCAGAGACCCUUUCCAGUAAAAGAACUACUAAGAUAUAAGGGGUGCAUAUCACUAAUCCUCUCCAUUAUAUGAUAGUGCUUCAAAGAAUCUUAAGGACAAUGUCCUUCAGAAGACUUAUUGGGGGCCAAAGAUUAGCAACAUGUCUGAAAUAGGUUUGUGAAUGUCAC